rnacentral:rRNA from 1 species
CAGUCGCCGCGGUAAUACAGAGGGUGCGAGCGUUAAUCGGAUUUACUGGGCGUAAAGCGUGCGUAGGCGGCUUCUUAAGUCGGAUGUGAAAUCCCUGAGCUUAACUUAGGAAUUGCAUUCGAUACUGGGAAGCUAGAGUAUGGGAGAGGAUGGUAGAAUUCCAGGUGUAGCGGUGAAAUGCGUAGAGAUCUGGAGGAAUACCGAUGGCGAAGGCAGCCAUCUGGCCUAAUACUGACGCUGAGGUACGAAAGCGUGGGGAGCAAACAGGAUUAGAUACCCCCGUAGUCCCUGUCUCUUAUAC